rnacentral:rRNA from 1 species
GAUGAACGCUGGCGGCGUGCUUAACACAUGCAAGUCGAACGGGAAACCUUUUACUGAAGCUUCGGCAGAUUUAGCUGGUUUCUAGUGGCGGACGGGUGAGUAACGCGUGGGUAACCUGCCUUAUACAGGGGGAUAACAGUCAGAAAUGACUGCUAAUACCGCAUAAGCGCACAGGACCGCAUGGUCCGGUGUGAAAAACUCCGGUGGUAUAAGAUGGACCCGCGUUGGAUUAGCUUGUUGGUGGGGUAACGGCUCACCAAGGCGACGAUCCAUAGCCGGCCUGAGAGGGUGAACGGCCACAGUGGGACUGAGACACGGCCCAGACUCCUACGGGAGGCAGCAGUGGGGAAUAUUGCACAAUGGGGGAAACCCUGAUGCAGCGACGCCGCGUGAAGGAAGAAGUAUCUCGGUAUGUAAACUUCUAUCAGCAGGGAAGAUAGUGACGGUACCUGACUAAGAAGCCCCGGCUAACUACGUG